CGUGGAGACAGGUGGUGCAUGGCUGUCGUCAGCUCGUGUCGUGAGAUGUUGGGUUAAGUCCCGCAACGAGCGCAACCCUCACCUCUUGUUGCCAUCAGGUCAUGCUGGGCACUCUAGAGGAACUGCCCCGGUCAACGGGGAGGAAGGCGGGGAUGACGUCAAGUCAUCAUGCCCCUUACGUCCUGGGCUACACACGCGCUACAAUGGCCGGUACAAAGGGAUGCAAGACCGCGAGGUGGAGCUAAUCCCAAAAAACCGGUCUAAGUUCAGAUUGCAGUCUGCAACUCGACUGCAUGAAGGAGGAAUCGCUAGUAAUCGCGCAUCAGCACGGCGCGGUGAAUACGUUCCCGGGCCUUGUACACACCGCCCGUCACACCACGAAAGCCGGCUGUACUCGAAGUCGCUGAG
rnacentral:rRNA from 1 species